rnacentral:piRNA from 5 species
GUCUAGUGGUUAGGAUUCGGCGCUCU